rnacentral:rRNA from 1 species
AACCUAAAACUACUUAAAUUUCUACAAAUCUUCCGCCUAGUUUUAGAGAAAUUCAAAUAAGGUACAGCCUAUUUGAAUUAGGAUACAACCUAAACCUGAGGGUAACUUUUUCCAUGCCCGGUUAAGUUGGCCUAAAAGCAGCCACCUUUAAAAUAGCGUCACAGCUUAGUCGCAUCCUUAAUUUAAUCCCUAAAGCCUAUACGAACCCCACCACAGUACCAAGCAAUUCUAUAUCUAUAUAGAACUUUUUAUGUUAAAACUAGUAACAAGAAGAUACAGCUUCUCUUUAAUGCAAGCAUACAUCAGUCAGGACAAACCACUGAUAUUUAACAUACAUGACCCUACAGUAGAAACACUACAAGAAAACCCUACUAAACCAUAUGUUAAUCUAACCCAAGAGCAUUACAAGAAAGAUUAAAAGAAAGAGAAGGAACUCGGCAAAUUUUAACCCCGCCUGUUUACCAAAAACAUCGCCUCUUGUAUACCUAUAAGAGGUCCAGCCUGCCCAGUGACUCUGUUCAACGGCCGCGGUAUCCUAACCGUGCGAAGGUAGCGUAAUCACUUGUUCUUUAAAUGAGGACUAGUAUGAAUGGCACCACGAAGGUUAUACUGUCUCCUCUCUCUAAUCAGUGAAACUAAUCUCCCCGUGAAGAAGCGGGGGUAAUUAUAUAAGACGAGAAGACCCUAUGGAGCUUUAAACUAAGAAUCAACUGCUUUAUUCCCCUACAAAUUUCAGAAGACUAACUUUUACCAAAGCACUCUGAUUUCUAGUUUUAGGUUGGGGUGACCACGGAGUAAAAACCAACCUCCGCAAUGAACAGGGAUCUUCCCUUAACCAAGGGCCACAACCCUAAGAAUCAAUACAUUGACAUCAAUUGAUCCAAAAAAUUUGNCCAAUGAACCAAGUUACCCUAGGGAUAACAGCGCAAUCCACUUCAAGAGCUCCUAUCGACAAGUGGGUUUACGACCUCGAUGUUGGAUCAGGGUAUCCUAGUGGUGCAGCCGCUACUAACGGUUCGUUUGUUCAACGAUUAAAACCCUACGUGAUCUGAGUUCAGACCGGAGUAAUCCAGGUCAGUUUCUAUCUAUAAAAAGCUCUUUCUAGUACGAAAGGACCGAAAAAGCAUGGCCUAUACUUAAUGCAAGCCAUAACAGCCAAUUUAUGACAUAAC